rnacentral:lncRNA from 1 species
GUGAUAUUUCAGGGAUUGUGCUGUCUGCUGCACCACCAAGCAUCUCCCUUUGCAGAUCUGAAGUUGUAGAUUCAAGUGGAGAUCCAGGAGGUCUCUAAGCCAGCACUUCCUGCGCACCUUAGUAAGCUCCUUAGGGAGUCACUGUGCAGAUAAAGACAAAACAAAUGUAG